GGGGGUGUAGCUCAGUUGGGAGAGCGCCUGCUUUGCACGCAGGAGGUCAUCGGUUCAAGUCCGUUCACCUCCA
rnacentral:tRNA from 1 species